AUAACUAGUUAUAAGACAAAGAAGAAUGUUGAAUUUGUAAGGUACUAGUGUGAAUGGAAUGUCAACUCAGGCUUGUUCGAUCACUGUGAUAUUCUGUGAUCACGCGGAAAAGGCACAAAAGGGGAUGGUGUGGCAGUGGCUCUGUGGAAGGAAACGCAGAAAAGGGAUGCAAGGAUUAUUCUUUUCCGCGUGUCAGAUUAGGGAUUUUUGCGACCGAUGAUUUCUGAUUAACAACAAAAUCUGUCGGAAAAUUCCGACGGGAAUAAUGUUUCCGAUGGACUUCCGUCGAAAAUCCCGACGGAUUAAGUAUAUCGGAAAGUUCCUUUCAAUAUUAAAAUAAAGUUUGAACAAAUUUCCGAGGGAAUUAGAUGUCGGAAAUUCCGUCGGGAAAAUUCGUCAAUGUUAAAAGGUAGGCAGUCAGCCUUUCUCAGUUUCAAAUCCGAAAAACAGAAAAGAGAGAGAGAGGAAGAGGAACGCGAACGCCGCCUUCUCCGAAUCCUCCGCCGCCGGCAGCCGCGACGAGCCUCCACCUGCCCAGCCCCUCUAAGUUGUAAUCAUGAAACGAAGAGAGCGUAGCUGGAUGUAUGACAGAUUGGAUGGGUAUUCUAUUAAGCCCGAGUUCUUGAAAGGGGUAGAGGAAUUCAUGCAAUAUUGCAAAGAUCAUCCUGAGAGCAGUAACCCCAAUGAAGUUAGGUGUCCUUGUGUUAAAUGCAAGAACUUACGUCUUCAUCCUCCGGACAUGGUUAGAAUUCAUUUGUAUGGCAAAGGAUUCGUUCCUAACUAUUAUGAGUGGAUGUGUCAAGGGGAAGGGUUUCCUACUACAUCUAAAGAGAAAUCCAAUGAAUUUCGUGAAAUGGUUGUGGACGCUCUUGGUGAUCAUAACCAAGAUCAAUUGGGCACCGAAGCUUCAAAGGAGGAUCCUAACACACCAUUAGAACAGCAUCUUGAUUUGGUGAAGGCAUCUGAACAGCCAUUGUAUGAAGGGAGUUCAAUGCCUAUUUUACCCCCCUAUCAAAGAACUAAGAGGGUAAGGAUUAAGGAGUCUAAGGACAUGACUGUGUCCGAGGAAUAAAAAGUAUAUGUACGUGAAGUAAAACUGGAAUAUCAGUCUUGAGUCGCGUAUUUCUCAUAAAGUUCUAUGUGGGAAAGAAAACCACGACUCUAUCCUAAAAUAAGGUUUUUUUACUGAGAUUCCACCUUUUUAUCCUUUACUUUGGAGGUCUUCAGAAGAAGGAAAAAUACCGCGUUUUUAAUGUUCUUUAGAUCAGAUUCAUGCAGUGAAUGUGGCAAAUAGACAUAGAUUCUAUGACCUUUGAUAUGCUACAGUUAUCAUUAGUCAAUAUUCCUUUUGUAUGUCAUCAACUUUCCUCAUAAGAAGAAUUGGUGGUGUGGAAGAAUUAGAUUUUAUUAGUAAUGAUGUAUUAAGACUCUAUUCUCAAAACUCUCCAAUGAGUUAUUAUGAAAUACCUGUUUAUUGCCUUGAGUAAAAGAUACAGUGUUUUCACUCGAUGUAAAGUUAGCCUUCUGAUCAACAGCCCCAACAGGAUGA